GGAGCUGUGGCUCAGUGGUAGAGCGCUUGCCUAGCAUGCAUGAGGCCCUGGUUUGGAGCCCCAGCACCA
rnacentral:tRNA from 1 species